GACGAACGCUGGCGGCGUGCCUAAUACAUGCAAGUCGAACGCACAGUUUAUACCUUAGCUUGCUACACCAUAGACUGUGAGUUGCGAACGGGUGAGUAACGCGUAGGUAACCUGCCUGGUAGCGGGGGAUAACUAUUGGAAACGAUAGCUAAUACCGCAUAAUAUUAAUUAUUGCAUGAUAAUUAAUUGAAAGGUGCAAUUGCACCACUACCAGAUGGACCUGCGUUGUAUUAGCUAGUAGGUGAGGUAACGGCUCACCUAGGCGACGAUACAUAGCCGACCGGAGAGGGGGGUCGGCGACACUGGGAGUGCGGAACGGCGCCGCAGACUCCGGGGGGCGGCAGUAGGGGGUCAUCGGGAAUGGUGGGAAGACUGCCCGUGCAACGCCGCGGGGUGGAAGAAGGUGGUCGGAGCGUAGAGAUCUGUUGUAAGAGGAGAACGGGUGUGAGCGCUGAAAGUUCACAUUGUGACGGGAUCUUAUCAGAAAGCGACGGCUAACUACGUG
rnacentral:rRNA from 1 species